UCUCCGUUGGUGAACCGGCGGAGGGAUCAUUAAAGAGUUCUAUAACUCCCAAACCCAUGUGAACAUACCUUACGUUGCCUCGGCAGGUCGUGCCUACCCCGUAGCGUCCUACCCUGUAGGACCUACCCGGUAGACGAGCGUAAGCCUGCCGGCGUCCCACGAAACUCUGUUUAGUUUUGAAUUCUGAACCUAUAACUAAAUAAGUUAAAACUUUCAACAACGGAUCUCUUGGUUCUA
rnacentral:misc_RNA from 1 species